rnacentral:lncRNA from 13 species
CAUCCCUUAGUGGGUGAUUUCUGGGUGUGAGGAGACAUUUGCUACCACUCAAGGCACCGUGGGACUUGUGUUGUGGGGUCUUGCACCCAGGCUGGUGUAUAGCCUCGACUUCCUUCGCUGAAGCCAUCCUCCCACCUCAGCCUCCUGAGUAGCUGGGACCACAGACCCAUGUCACAAUGGUACUCCACAGGUUGGUAUUUGGCCUCUAACUUCUCCUGCCCUCAUGAGAUUUGUUCCAUUACUGAGCAGACCAAACAUGGGAGAGCUGGACUGUAGAGUUUAUAGGCACCUUCUUGGUCACCUCAGAAACAGAAGGCAGACAGAACAAACCUGA